rnacentral:rRNA from 1 species
UCCCCACCCCUGUGAACAUACCUACGUUGCCUCGGCGGAGGGGACGCCUCCGGGCCCCCCCCCGCSGCUGGCCCAAACCAAACUCUUGUUUUAUUUUGGAACUCUGAAUACAAAAGCAAAUAAGUUAAAACUUUCAACAACGGAUCUCUUGGUUCUGGCAUCGAUGAAGAACGCAGCGAAAUGCGAUAAGUAAUGUGAAUUGCAGAAUUCAGUGAAUCAUCGAAUCUUUGAACGCACAUUGCGCCCAUUAGUAUUCUAGUGGGCAUGCCUGUUCGAGCGUCAUUACGACCAUUAAGCCCUGUCGCUUAGCGUUGGGAGCCCGCUGGCCCAGGCCUGCAGCUCCUCAAAAUUAGUGGCGGAGUUAGCGUAUACUCUAGGCGUAGUAAUUUUCAACUCGCUUCUGUGGUUGCGCUGGCGCCUGCCGUAAAACCCCUUAUUCUUAAAGGUUUGGCCUC